GAGGGUAUAGCUCAGUGGUAGAGCGUGUGCUUAGCAUGCACAAGGUCCUGGGUUCAAGCCCCAGUACCUCCA
rnacentral:tRNA from 1 species